AGAGUUUGAUCCUGGCUCAGGAUGAACGCUGGCGGCGUGCCUAAUGCAUGCAAGUCGAGCGACGCAUACCGGAGGGGUAACCCACUGGUAUGACGGAGCGGCGAACGGGUGAGUAACACGUGAGUAACCUGCCCCACAGACCGGGGCAGCCCAGGGAAACCUGGAUUAAUACCGGAUACCCUCGGGGGAUCGCAUGAUCUUUCGAGGAAAUGCCUUUGUGCUGUGGGAUGGACUCGCGACUUAUCAGCUAGUUGGUGGGGUAACGGCCUACCAAGGCGUCGACGAGUAGCUGGUCUGAGAGGACGAUCAGCCACACUGGGACUGAGACACGGCCCAGACUCCUACGGGAGGCAGCAGCAGGGAAUCUUGCGCAAUGGGCGAAAGCCUGACGCAGCAACGCCGCGUGGGGGAUGAAGGCCUUCGGGUUGUAAACCCCUUUCAGGAGGGAAGAAAUUGACGGUACCUCCAAAAGAAGCACCGGCCAACUACGUGCCAGCAGCCGCGGUAAUACGUAGGGUGCGAGCGUUAUCCGGAAUCAUUGGGCGUAAAGAGCUCGUAGGCGGUUCAGCAAGUCGGCUGUGAAAUUUCGAGGCUCAACCUCGAAACUGCAGUCGAAACUGCUGUGACUCGAGUCCGGUAGAGGAGAAUG
rnacentral:rRNA from 1 species